UACGAGGGGGGCGAGCGUUGUUCGGAAUUAUUGGGCGUAAAGGGUGCGUAGGCGGUUCCGCAAGUCCUGUGUGAAAUCUUCGGGCUCAACUCGAAGUCUGCACGGGAAACUGCGGGGCUUGAGUGUGGGAGAGGUGAGUGGAAUUCCGAGUGUAGAGGUGAAAUUCGUAGAUAUUCGGAAGAACACCAGUGGCGAAGGCGACUUACUGGACACAUAUUGACGCUGAGGUGCGAAAGCGUGGGGAGCAAACAGG
rnacentral:rRNA from 1 species